UAAUCAAUCCUCCUAUUACUGUACCGUGGAGGCUGACUCGCACUGCUUUAUUUUGGUUGUAUUUCCUGAUGUUUUUAGACAUGCAUAGCUUGAUAACAAUGUAACCAUUUCCACCACGUUGAACUUUCAGCUAUAGAGAGCUUCUGACAUGAAAUAAAGGUACAGGUUACUAGAUGGGACAAUGAACAUAAAAUGGAUUACCGCACAGUGGCAACAUGAAGAGGUUCUGCUUUAGAUGUCACUGCUGGGCACUAUUCUUAUAAAUUCAAAGCCCUAAAUCACGGAUGGCUUCAC